AGAGAGGUGGCCGAGUGGUCGAAGGCGCACGCCUGGAAAGUGUGUAUACCCCAAAAGGGUAUCGAGGGUUCGAAUCCCUUCCUCUCUGC
rnacentral:tRNA from 1 species